CCUUGUCCAUCGUCUCCUUCCCUUCAAUCACCUUUCUCUGCUGCCUGCUACUAUUACUACUACUACUGAACCCAGAACUGAGAAGAAGAUCCCUUCUUCGAAUUAUUCAUAUUUUUCUUUCUUUCCCGAAUUUUCUACUGCAUCAAAACCCCUCCGCCCGUCCCCUCUCUCUCUCCCCACUUGGUCCAAGUAGUCUGUGAAACUAGGGUUUCUGAGAUAGGGUAGGCAUGGAGAAUGGGGUUGGUGUUGUUGAUGGGGCUCCGUUGGGAGAGAGGAAGGGUGUGGAAGAGGAGGUUAGGGGUUCUACAGUAGAGGAAAUGCCUAUGAUGGAGUCAAAUGAAUUGAAGGAAUCCGAGGGGGAUGAUGAAGUGUAUGAGGAGGCUAUUGCUGGAGAUACACCGAGAGUUGGUUUUGAGAAGAGAGUGGUCAGCGAUGGUGGGAAUGAUAAGAAGCUUGAGGAUUUGGAUGCAGGAAGUGAGGCUGAGAAGUUUGAGGAGGCAAUUGGGCUUCCAAGUGAGGAUCGGAAGAAUGAACCGGGUGAAGAAGGUUUGCUGAGCGAGCAGAGAACUAGUCCUGAUGGAAAUUUGGAGGAAAAAUCAAAUGGGAGGAGGGACAAUGAAAAGUCGGGUCCUGUUCCUGUAGAGCUUCAGAACGGUGAUCAUUUGCACUUUGAUGAAACAUUGGCUCAUGAUACUGUGGCUGAUGUUGCAACUGAACAGCAAGGGGACCAGGGCCAUGAACCAUUGGGAACUCAAAAUGCUAAUGAAGUCAAAGGAGGUAAUACUGGUUCGUUGUCAGAGGUUGAAACCAAUGGGGACAUUUUGCAUCAAAAUAAUGAGGGUUCAGAAGAGAAUGAAACUGAUGGUGUUAUGAUAGCCGAACAUGAACAUGACAAGUUUAAACAGCUCGAAAAUGCUUCAGCAAGCGUGUCCUCUGAGCCUAUGAAUCAUUCGGCUGAAGAGCAGGAUGGCAUUCCAACCAGUAUGGCAAAAGGGAAUCAGGAUUCUGAUGACAAACUGCAUGAGGUCGUUCUAACUCAUAGUGUUUCAGCUAUUGAACAUCAAGAAAUAAGUCUGAGACAGCAAAAUGAUUUACAGCCAUCUUUGGAGGAAAAGGCAGAAAAUACUGAGCUUGAAAGGUCAUUACCUACAGAAGAUUCCAUGGUAGAAAAAUCUGAAAAGCUUGGUGUUAGGUCAGCUGGUUUGUUAGCAGAAAGUUUGGAGGGACCUAAGUCACAGCUUCCAGAGAAAACUGUUGAUGAUUAUGAAGCUAUGCUUGAUGAACCUGAAAAUAAAGAUGAGCAUAAGGCAACUAAUCGAGUCAUUCUGCAGAAGAGUGCUGAUUUUGUGGCAGAAAGUUCUGGUGGUUCUCAGCAUGAACUUGUGGAUCCAAAUGCUAGUGUCUCUGAAUCCGUGCUUAAAGAACCUGAGAAGAAACAUAAAGAUGAGGAAUACAAGGAAAUGAAACAAUCUAUUCUGCGAAAUGAAGGUGAGGAUGUAAGACCAGCGAAUGCUUCAGCUACAGCUAGAUCCUCGAAGGCUUCUCAUCCUGCUGGACUCGGACAUUCUCCCUUGGGGACCAGAGAACAGCAAGUCAAACCAACACCUGAUAUUCCAUCAUCCUCUUUGGGGUCUGCAACUUCUGCUCCUGUGCCACCUCGUCCUGCUGGGCUUGGGCGUGCUGCUUCACUUUUGGAACCUGCUCCCCGUGUUGCGCAGCAGCCUCGCGUCAAUGGAACAGUUUCCCCAGUACAGAACCAGCUAGUUGAAGAGCCAACGAAUGGGGAAGCUGACGAAACUGAUGAGACUCGUGAAAAACUUCAGAUGAUACGAGUAAAAUUUCUGCGUCUUGCUCAUAGACUUGGGCAGACUCCACAUAAUGUUGUUGUGGCCCAGGUCUUGUACAGACUAGGAUUGGCUGAACAGCUACGGGGUAGAAAUGGGGGUCGGGUUGCUGCCUUUAGCUUUGAUCGUGCAAGUGCUAUGGCUGAGCAGCUUGAGGCUGCUGGUCAGGAACCUUUGGAUUUCUCCUGCACAAUAAUGGUUCUUGGAAAAACAGGGGUUGGCAAGAGUGCAACCAUCAAUUCCAUAUUUGAUGAAAUUAAGUUUGGCACUGAUGCUUUUCAGUUGGGAACGAAGAAGGUUCAAGAUGUUGUAGGCACUGUACAGGGGAUCAAGGUGCGGGUUGUUGACACUCCAGGUCUGCUGCCUUCAUGGUCAGACCAACGCAAGAACGAGAAAGUCCUCCAGUCAGUCAAACAGUAUAUUAAGAGAACACCCCCAGAUAUCAUUUUGUAUCUUGAUAGAUUGGAUAUGCCAAGCAGGGAAUUUGGUGACAUGCCGCUGCUGCGGACAAUUACGGAAAUUUUUGGACCAUCAAUAUGGUUUAAUGCUAUAGUUGUUUUGACUCACGCUGCAUCUGCUCCUCCUGAAGGGCCCAAUGGUACUACCACAAGUUAUGAUAUGUUUGUAACUCAGCGUUCUCAUGUUGUCCAGCAAGCAAUUCGCCAGGCUGCUGGAGAUAUGCGCCUUAUGAAUCCUGUUUCUUUGGUGGAGAACCACUCAGCAUGCAGGACUAACCGAGCUGGGCAAAGAGUGUUACCAAACGGCCAGGUUUGGAAACCUCACUUGUUACUGUUGUCCUUCGCAUCAAAAAUUUUGGCUGAAGCAAAUACACUAUUGAAGUUACAAGAUAGUCCACCUGGACAGCCUUUUGCUCCUAGAACAAGAUCACCACCUCUACCUUUCUUGCUUUCUUCCCUUCUUCAAUCAAGACCACCUGUAAAGCUGCCAGUGGAGCAGUUUGGUGAUGAUAAUGACAGUUUAGAGGAUGACUUGGAUGAGUCAUCAGACUCUGAAGAUGAAUCAGAAUAUGAUGAGUUGCCACCAUUCAAAGCGCUGACCAAGGCCCAGUUGGCAAAGCUUACGAGAACUCAGAGGAAGGCAUAUUAUGAUGAACUUGAAUACCGGGAAAGGCUUUUCAUGAAAAAGCAGUUGAAGGAAGAGAAGAAGCGUCGAAAGAUGAUGAAGAAAAUGCAAGCUGCAGCAAAUGAUAUUCCAACUGAAUACAGAGAAAAUGUAGAAGAAGAGAGUGGUGGUGCAGCAUCUGUUCCAGUGCCUAUGCCCGACUUGGCAUUACCUGCUUCUUUUGAUUCAGAUAAUCCAACUCAUCGGUACCGUUAUCUUGAUUCGACCAACCAGUGGCUUGUGAGGCCUGUCCUAGAACCUAAUGGUUGGGACCAUGAUGUUGGUUAUGAGGGGAUAAAUGCGGAGAGACUUUUUGUGGUUAAGGAGAAGAUACCAAUAUCUUUCUCUGGGCAAAUUUCAAAGGAUAAAAAGGACACCAGUCUCCAAAUGGAGGUAGCCAGUACAAUCAAGCAUUGGGAAGGGAAAGCAACUUCUGUAGGGUUUGACUUGCAGUCGGUGGGGAAGGAUAUUGCUUAUACACUACGAAGUGAGACAAGGUUUAGCAAUUGGAGGAAGAAUAAGGCAGUAGCUGGUUUGUCGGUAACGCUCCUAGGUGAUAUUUUGACUGGUGGACUUAAAGUUGAGGACAAAUUGAUCGUUAAUAAGCAAGGUCAGUUGGUUGUCUCUGCUGGUGCCAUAAUGGGUCGUGGUGAUGUUGCUUACGGUGGAAGUUUGGAAGCAACACUGAGGGACAAGGAUCAUCCGCUUGGGCGUUUCCUAACAACACUUGGCCUCUCUGUCAUGGAUUGGCAUGGGGAUCUUGCUAUUGGAUGCAAUUUGCAGAGCCAGAUCCCUGUUGGGCGAACUUCAAACUUUAUCGGUCGGGUUAAUGUUAAUAACAGGGGAUCUGGACAAGUUAGUAUCCGUGUGAACAGCUCAGAACAUCUUCAGAUAGUUUUGAUUAGUUUUGUUCCUCUCGUCAGAAAGCUGCUUUCUUAUUAUCAGCCUGUGCAGUAUGGAUAACUAUGAAAGUCAAUGCUUUAUUUCCAAAUCAGCCAUCGGUUGUGGUGGAUAACUCUAAAUGGCAUUGUGAUGAGCAUAGAAUAUGCUGCAGAUUCAUAUUUUGUCCACAAGAUAACCAAGAACUUAGGACUCGUAUGACGAGCAACACCAACAUUAAUUCCGUAAGAUUUGGCCGUUGCAUGAUGAAGACGUGAGCAUGACCACUGUGAUGGCCUGUUAGACAGUCUUUUCAUUAUCCUAAACUCCUUCGAGCAUGUAAAUUAGUCCCCAGAAUGUCUUUCGGUAGUUUACUAUUCUUAGUUUUGUUUUUCAAAUCAUUUUGGGGGUGUAAUAAGACAACUUUAUACCAGAUUGUGGGUUUACCAUAUAUAAUAGGGUCAAGUUCUCCUUCGGGUUUAGAUUGCUGUAUCAUGGUCAUUGAGUUUUUCCAAGAAUGUGGCUUCUGGACUGUGUUUUGUA